UUGGUANUGGACGCAGUCUGAACCAGCCAUGCCGCGUGAAGGAUGAAGGCCCUCUGGGUUGUAAACUUCUUUUACAGGGGACGAAAAAAGGGCAUUCUUGCUCACUUGACGGUACCCUGGGAAUAAGCACCGGCUAACUCCGUGCCAGCAGCCGCGGUAAUACGGAGGGUGCAAGCGUUAUCCGGAUUUACUGGGUUUAAAGGGUGCGUAGGUGGGUUGGUAAGUCAGUGGUGAAAUCUCCGGGCUUAACUCGGAAACUGCCAUUGAUACUAUCAAUCUUGAAUUAUCUGGAGGUGAGCGGAAUAUGUCAUGUAGCGGUGAAAUGCUUAGAGAUGACAUAGAACACCCAUUGCGAAGGCAGCUCACUACGGAUUGAUUGACACUGAGGCACGAAAGCGUGGGGAUCAAACAGGAUUAGAUACCCUGGUAGUCCACGCCCUAAACGAUGGAUACUCGACAUCAGCGAUACACAGUUGGUGUCUGAGCGAAAGCAUUAAGUAUCCCACCUGGGAAGUACGACCGCAAGGUUGAAACUCAAAGAAAUUGACGGA
rnacentral:rRNA from 1 species